AGCGAACGCUGGCGGCAGGCUUAACACAUGCAAGUCGAACGAAGUCUUCGGACUUAGUGGCGGACGGGUGAGUAACACGUGGGAACGUACCUUUUGGUUCGGGAUAACACAGGGAAACUUGUGCUAAUACCGAAUGUGCCCUUAGGGGGAAAGAUUUAUCGCCAUUAGAGCGGCCCGCGUUAGAUUAGCUAGUUGGUGGGGUAAAGGCCCACCAAGGCUACGAUCUAUAGCUGGUCUGAGAGGAUGAUCAGCCACACUGGGACUGAGACACGGCCCAGACUCCUACGGGAGGCAGCAGUGGGGAAUCUUGCGCAAUGGUCGAAAGACUGACGCAGCCAUGCCGCGUGAAUGAUGAAGGUCUUAGGAUUGUAAAAUUCUUUUACCAGGGACGAUAAUGACGGUACCUGGAGAAAAAGCUCCGGCUAACUUCGUGCCAGCCGCCGCCGUAA
rnacentral:rRNA from 1 species